CCCCUCUCAGGAUGGCAUCUGGAGAGUUUCCAGUACUCUACCAGUCUCGAUUAUGGGGAGGAGAGUGAAGCAGAGGCCUCCCUUUCCAUUCCCAGCUUGGGCAGUGGCUAGCGAGUGGCAGGCAAUCUGCUACAAGU